rnacentral:rRNA from 1 species
UGGGGAAUUUUGCGCAAUGGGCUAACGCCUGACGCAGCAACGCCGCGUGGAGGAUGAAGGUCUUUGGAUUGUAAACUCCUGUCAGCGGGGAAAAAGCGACCGCACCUAACACGUGCGGGAGUUGAUUGUACCCGCAGAGGAAGCCCCGGCUAACUCUGUGCCAGCAGCCGCGGUAAUACAGAGGGGGCAAGCGUUAUUCGGAAUUAUUGGGCGUAAAGGGCGCGUAGGCGGCUUGGCAAGUGGAAGGUGAAAUCCCUCGGCUUAACCGAGGAACUGCCCUCCAAACUGCUUUGCUUGAGGCCGGGAGAGGUAAGUGGAAUUCCCAGUGUAGCGGUGAAAUGCGUAGAUAUUGGGAGGAACACCAGUGGCGAAGGCGGCUUACUGGACCGGUUCUGACGCUGAGGCGCGAAAGCGUGGGGAGCAAACGG